AUACAGAGGGUGCGAGCGUUAAUCGGAAUUACUGGGCGUAAAGCGCGCGUAGGCGGCUUAUUAAGUCAGAUGUGAAAUCCCCGGGCUCAACCUGGGAACUGCAUCUGAUACUGGUAAGCUAGAGUUUGGGAGAGGGAAGUAGAAUUUCAGGUGUAGCGGUGAAAUGCAUAGAGAUCUGAAGGAAUACCAGUUGCGAAGGCGACUUCCUGGCCUAAAACUGACGCUGAGGUGCGAAAGCGUGGGUAGCAAACGGGAUUAGAAACCCCAGUAGUCC
rnacentral:rRNA from 1 species